UGGGGAAUAUUGGACAAUGGGCGAAAGCCUGAUCCAGCCAUGCCGCGUGUGUGAAGAAGGUCUUCGGAUUGUAAAGCACUUUAAGUUGGGAGGAAGGGCAUUAACCUAAUACGUUAGUGUUUUGACGUUACCGACAGAAUAAGCACCGGCUAACUCUGUGCCAGCAGCCGCGGUAAUACAGAGGGUGCAAGCGUUAAUCGGAAUUACUGGGCGUAAAGUGCGCGUAGGUGGUUUGUUAAGUUGGAUGUGAAAGCCCCGGGCUCAACCUGGGAACUGCAUCCAAAACUGGCAAGCUAGAGUACGGUAGAGGGUGGUGGAAUUUCCUGUGUAGCGGUGAAAUGCGUAGAUAUAGGAAGGAACACCAGUGGCGAAGGCGACCACCUGGACUAAUACUGACACUGAGGUGCGAAAGCGUGGGGAGCAAACA
rnacentral:rRNA from 1 species